rnacentral:rRNA from 1 species
GGAAUAUUGGGCAAUGGAGGAAACUCUGACCCAGCGACGCCGCGUGCGGGAUGAAGGCCUUCGGGUUGUAAACCGCUUUCAGUAGGGAAGAAGCGAAAGUGACGGUACCUACAAAAGAAGCACCGGCUAACUAUGUGCCAGCAGCCGCGGUAAUACAUAGGGUGCAAGCGUUGUCCGGAAUUAUUGGGCGUAAAGAGCUCGUAGGUCGUUUGUUACGUCGGAUGUGAAAACCUGAGGCUCAACCUCAGGCCUGCAUUCGAUACGGGCAAACUAGAGUUUGGUAGGGGAGACUGGAAUUCCUGGUGUAGCGGUGGAAUGCGCAGAUAUCAGGAGGAACACCAAUGGCGAAGGCAGGUCUCUGGGCCAAUACUGACACUGAGGAGCGAAAGUCUGGGGAGCGAACAGGAUUAGAUACCCUGGUAGUCCAGACCGUAAACGGUGGGCACUAGUUGUGGGAACCUUCCACGGUUUCUGCGACGCAGCUAACGCAUUAAGUGCCCCGCCUGGGGAGUACGAUCGCAAGAUUAAAACUCAAAGGAAUUGACGG